GGGUUCGAUCAUACUAGCAUUAAUGCACCGGAUCUCAUUAGAACUCCGCUGUUAAGCGUGCAUGGGCGAGAGUAGUACUAGGAUAGGUGACCUCCUGGGAAGUCCUCGUGUUGCACCCC
rfam:Gossypium raimondii scaffold_901_contig_1, whole genome shotgun sequence.